AGGGUCACUGAGGGGGCGGCCUGGAGAAGGUUGGGAGAUGACCAUGCCUUUUUCUCUUAACAGGAAGGACCUGCUUCUGUCUGAAUUAUGGAGUCUGGUACUAGUUCUUCCAUAUGACCUUUCGUGAGCACCUUUAUGCGUAAAGCUCUUACCAAGUACAGGAUGAUCCUCUCAGGACAUUUCCCAGAAGUGGACUUCUUCAGUGACAGGCAGUGACCAGCCUGAUAUGUGCUGUCAAGUUUCUCCCAAAAAGCUUCCAGCAGGACUUCCAGCAGCACGGACUGAAAGAGCCAGUUUUACAUGCAGCCUUUCCGAGCCAGGGGUCUUAUUUAAAGAUAGCUUGGCUGAUUCCCAGAAGGCACUGCUAGGCGUACGACCCUCUGUUUAGCCAACUAGAAAUCGUGGUUUUGAAUAGCCUCAGUGUGACUGUUUUCAGCGAGAACGAGGGUACCAGAUCGCCACCGCCUGGCCGGUAGCAGCCCCAGUACGUUCACCACGGUGGAGGUGGGUGCCACGGUGAGGCAGUUCACGGGCACCGAGCUGGCCCCAGAGUCGGCAUACAUCUUCAGGCUGCCGGCCAAGACGAGGCAGGGCUGGGCGAACCGCUGGAGGGCCCCGUCAUCACCACUGAGAAGAGAGCCUCCAAGAGAUGAGAGCCUGAACAGCCUUCUUCAGGAAAACCAGAUCUACUACUGGGAGCUGGAGUCAGAGGUAUCCUCAGCCAAGAUGCUCAAAACCACUUCGGCUUUAUGGGCUGAGCUCCCAGCUCUGAGAAACACCGGUGUCAUGAGGUCAUCCUGACGGCCUACAACAUCAUCGGCGAGAGCCCAGCAGCGCGCCCGUGGAGGUGUUCGUCGGCGAGGCCGUGUCAGGAGUGGGGAUUGCCUUCCUGACCGUGCCUCUGUCUCCCUUACUGGUGGUGUAGACACGGUGUGUCGACAGACAAGGUGAGUUCAGGGACUUUCUACAUCACCAUAUUGGAUCAGCUGGGUUUCUGCCCCCUGUAGCCCUGGGAAGUAGUCCGCAUCCAUUUUGGCACCUCUGCUUUCAUGUGAGUGAGAGUCCUACCAGGGCCCCUGGUUUUAUUUUAUUUUAUUUUAUUAUUUUAUUUUAUUUUAUUUUAUUAUUUUAUUUUAUUUAUUUAUUUAUUUAUUUUUUAAAGAUUUUAUUUAUUUGACAGAGACACAGCGAGAGAGGGAACACAAGCAGGGGGAGUGGCAGAGGGAGAAGCAGGCUUCCCGCGGAGCAGGGAGCCUGAUGUGGGGCUCGAUCCCAGGACGCUGGGAUCAUGACCUGAGCCGAAGGCAGCCGCUUAACUGACUGAGCCACCCAGGCGCCCCAGGGCCCCUGGUUUUAAACACCGAGCUUGCCUCUGGCUGACUUUCUCACCUGGAUUACUCAGUUUUCUCUUGCCCUAUGGACAUGUGUUCUCAGGUGCCUCCACCUAAUUCAGAACACAGGCGUCAGUAUGCACAUGGCUUAAGCCUUGCUCACAUUCGGUGUUUCCUUUUUCUUCUGAUGCAUGUAAAUAUUGACAUGUUUGUGUUCCCAUCUAUGUCUUAUCAUUUUAAAAAAUCUUUUCUUAACCAUUUAUGUAUCAGUGCAUUGGGAGAAGAGGGUCUCACAACAUACUAGUGCAAUUCCUACCUGACUGACAUUUCUCAUUCGGUUUCUACUGGUCUGGAUUGGGAGUGGUGGUCUGGACUCCAAGAUGAUGGCUAAGAUGAAAGUGAUGGCAGUGGACAGAAGCACCUCGACUCAAAAUAUAUAUUUUGUAAUGAAUUGUAUAAAAUCUCUUGGCUGAAUGUGGGUGGUGAGGUAUGGGAGUUUCGAAUAUCUGUCAGUCUUCUGGUUUGAUCACUGGAGAAUUUUUGAAUCAUUUAUUGAAGUGGGAGAGCCUGGAAGAGAAAGCUUGUUCUUAAGUGGUUGCAAUCCAGUUUCCUUCUGACCAUGUGGAGAUGAACCAUUUGUGAGACCUAGAAGUGGACCUACCAUGCAGCUGGAUGGAUACAUGAGAGGCUCAGGAGAAAAGUCUGGAUGGAGGCAAAAUAGGAAGUUGUCAGCUGAUUGAUGCUACUGAGAGCCUGUCUCUGCAGUUUAUACCUUCUGCUCUCGUCAGUCAGGCUGAUUGUUCAUAGCCACACGUGUUUACUAAUUCUGAUCUGACCCAUUCAGCUUCCAGCCCUCUCUAUUCAGAUUCUUUAAGUUUUCCUCCUGCAGGUCACCUGAUGCCUGAGUUUUCUGUGACACAAGUAAUCCUUAACAUUUGCGUGGAAAGGAAACACGAGUGCCCCCGAACUCCAUCCUGUGAACAUGGGGAGACUUAACAUGAACAAGUGGAUAUAGGACAGAACAGGUGGUUAUCCAGCAGCCAUCCAUCAAAUAAAAGGAGAAUGAAGAGAGAAAAUGAAGGUCUGUCCUGGAACAGAAAUCUGAAUAUCGGAGAACAAAAUUGCAUCUGUUUCCAUAGAGUUGAAUCAAAGCUCUUUGAUCGAUUAAAAUAAUCCAUAAA